CUGCACAAGCUCUCUCUCGGCCUGCCGCCAUCCAUGGAAGAUGUGACUUGCUUCACCUUGCCUUCUGCCAUGAUUGUGAGGCCUCCCCAGCCAUGUGGAACUGUGCAUCUAUCAAACCUCUUUCUUUUGUAAAUUGCCCAGUCUCAGCAUUUGUGCAUUCCAAGAGUGGGAGAAGAAUUCAUCUUGGGAAAGAAUGUAUCUUUUGUUUGGGAAAAACGUCUUAAUGGGCCCUGUGGUUAUGCAAAGGUAGCCCUGUCUCCAGAAUGAUGGGAAGUCCCUGUUUGGGAGGAAAAAUCUCAGAGGAAGUGGAAGGUAUGCAGAGCCUGUGAUGGAGGAGCCAGAGAGAUCCAGGAGAAGCUGGGAGCAGCAGAGUGGGAGGAGGCCAGUGACUGUGAGGGUGGAUGUGCUUCCAGGAAUUCUUGGCAAUUUGGAAAUGAGCUAGAAUUCCUCUGGCUGCAAAGCAUGUUCUUUUCUUUGAUUAUUUAAGUAAAGGGUAAUUCUGGAAGGUUGGAAAAUGUAGGACACCCACUAUGUAAAAAUCAGGAAGGUACUAACCUAUAGCUUCAAGCAAGACUCAUCAGGAUUAUGAGCCUCACCACCACUACCAUCAUGGUUAUUACCACCAUCUCCUAUCACAGGGCAAAGCUGAGUGACCCUGGUAGGCAGAAUAAUGGCCUCCCAAAGAUGCCCAAGUCCUAAUCCUCAAAACCUGAAAAUAUGUUAAAGUACAUAGCAAAGGGGAAUUAAGGUUGCCAAUCCCUUGACCUUAAAAUAGAAAGGGCACCCUAGAUUAUGCAGGUGGGCCCAAUGUAAUCAUAAAGAUUUAUAGAAAGUAAAAAGUUUCCUCUUCAAAGUUUCCCUUCUUGUUAAAAAAUAAAGCAUAAGUGUUAGAAAUAAUAGUUUCUGUUGAAGACUUUCUUCAAACCUCCUUGAUUUGUGCUAAUAACUCUUUGUUAAGCCCUAUCCCAUAUAGCUGUUGGACAUGCUCACAGACACGUUCCAGCUCACAGCCUAUGCCCCUUCCUUAUUUGGAAAUGUUAUCGCUUCUUUAAAUCUUUUGUAAGCAACUUCCUCCUUUCCUUUGUUCCCCCUUGCCUUUACCUAUUUAAGAAAGUUUUAGGUUGUUAGCAAAUCAGGUAUCAGUUUAGACUAUGAGGUUUGGCUCCAGCUAGUGGAUGCAGGACGCAGCAGUAAGGACGACCCAAAUGCAUAAGGGAUAAAUAUGUCUGCUUUUCCUUUGUUCAGUAUACUCUCAUGGCAAGACGGCUAGCGAGUGUACCCUUUCUGCAGAAAGUAAAAAUUGCCUUGCUGAUAGAAUUAAAUUUAUGUUCAAGUGCUAUUUCUUUAUGACACCAGGGAACAAGCAUUUUGCAUUCCUAACAGAUCCUAAAUGUGGAAGAGGGAGGCAAAAGAGUGUUAAAAUAUACUCCCAACAAACAAAGUGGACUCCUUGUAGCUAAAAUGAGACACACCAAAAACAGAAUCUCAUGGCCAGCAGGAUCGGGGAUUAGUCACGAAUCCCAGUGUCGUUAACGGCCAUAAGGUUUAUUUCCCGUAAUUAAAAAGAAACCAGUUCCUGAAAAUCAUUGCCCAAACAACUAUAGCUGGAAAAUUUCCCAAAUGACCCCAAGAUUCUA